UUCAAUUCUAUUUAGUAGUGAUAUAUACAAUGAUCUCUAUCAAAGUAUCAUUGAAACUCUUUUUAAUGGAUCAGAACAAUUUCACUCUAACUCAUCAAAGAUUGUUGAUCCAGAACAAUCCUAGUGAGCUCUCACAAUCCAUCAAUAAUACCUAGCAGUAUGUAGUGGCAAUCCAAUAGAACCGAAAAGAACCUCAAGAUGUAGUUAACGUGUGAUUCAGUUCCUCUAUCGUGGAUCCCAACUAGAUGGCAGGUCAUGAAUAAAUCAUCAAACCUCAUCAUCAGUCAUAUGAUAGAUUUGAUUAGCUCAAAUCAAUUUGUGAUUUUUAUAGAAACUCUUUUCCAACAAUCACACUACUGUGACUACAAACUCUCAGACUUAGCCUCUCAAAUUUUAUAGGACUACUUCUUUCUAUCA
rnacentral:lncRNA from 1 species